GUAGGGAGCAAGCGUUAUUCGGAUUUACUGGGCGUAAAGAGUGCGUAGGCGGUUAUAUAAGUCAAUGGUGAAAUCUCCACUUUCAAGGUGGAAACUGCCUUUGAUACUGUAUGACUAGAGGGCAAGAGGGGGAAAUGGAACUCUGGGAGUAGCGGUGAAAUGCGUAGAUAUCCAGAGGAACGCCGGUAGCGAAGGCGAUUUCCUGGCUUGCAUCUGACGCUGAGGCACUAAAGCUAGGGUAGCGAUCGGGAUUAGAGACCCCGGUAGUCCUAGCCCUAAACGAUGGGUACUAAGUGUGGGGGGAGCAUUACCCUCCGUGCUGAAGUUAACACGUUAAGUACCCCGCCUGGGGAGUACGGUCGCAAGGCUGAAACUCAAAAGAAUUGACGGGGGGCUGAACAAGCAGUGGAGCACGUGGUUUAAUUCGACGCAAAGCGAGGAACCUUACCAGGGUUUGACAUGCUAGUAGUAGUGACCUGAAGGGGAAGCGAUCCGGACUUCGGUUCGGAAGCUAGCACAGGUGGUGCAUGGCUGUCGUCAGCUCGUGCCGUGAGGUGUUGGGUUAAGUCCUUUAACGAGCGCAACCCUUGUCCUUAGUUACCAGCGGGUUAAGCCGGGUACUCUAAGGAGACCGCCGCCAGAAAGCGGAGGAAGGUGGGGAUGACGUCAAGUCCUCACGCCCCUUAUGUCCUGGGCUACACACGUGCUACAAUGGCCAAGACAAAAGGACGCAAAGGAGUGAUCCUGAGCAAAUCCCAAAAACUGGCCCCAGUUCGGAUUGCAGGCUGCAAUUCGCCUGCAUGAAGCCGGAAUUGCUAGUAAUCGUGGAUCAGCUACGCCACGGUGAAUACGUUCUCAGCCCUU
rnacentral:rRNA from 1 species